CCCUUAGAGUUUGAUCAUGGCUCAGAUUGAACGCUGGCGGCAGGCCUAACACAUGCAAGUCGAGCGGUAGAGAGAAGCUUGCUUCUCUUGAGAGCGGCGGACGGGUGAGUAAUGCCUAGGAAUCUGCCUGGUAGUGGGGGAUAACGUUCGGAAACGGACGCUAAUACCGCGUACGUCCUACGGGAGAAAGCAGGGGACCUUCGGGCCUUGCGCUAUCAGAUGAGCCUAGGUCGGAUUAGCUAGUUGGUGGGGUAAUGGCUCACCAAGGCGACGAUCCGUAACUGGUCUGAGAGGAUGAUCAGUCACACUGGAACUGAGACACGGUCCAGACUCCUACGGGAGGCAGCAGUGGGGAAUAUUGGACAAUGGGCGAAAGCCUGAUCCAGCCAUGCCGCGUGUGUGAAGAAGGUCUUCGGAUUGUAAAGCACUUUAAGUUGGGAGGAAGGGUUGUAGAUUAAUACUCUGCAAUUUUGACGUUACCGACAGAAUAAGCACCGGCUAACUCUGUGCCAGCAGCCGCGGUAAUACAGAGGGUGCAAGCGUUAAUCGGAAUUACUGGGCGUAAAGCGCGCGUAGGUGGUUUGUUAAGUUGGAUGUGAAAUCCCCGGGCUCAACCUGGGAACUGCAUUCAAAACUGACUGACUAGAGUAUGGUAGAGGGUGGUGGAAUUUCCUGUGUAGCGGUGAAAUGCGUAGAUAUAGGAAGGAACACCAGUGGCGAAGGCGACCACCUGGACUAAUACUGACACUGAGGUGCGAAAGCGUGGGGAGCAAA
rnacentral:rRNA from 1 species